AUUGAACGCUGGCGGCAUGCUUUACACAUGCAAGUCGAACGGCAGCGCGGGCUUCGGCCUGGCGGCGAGUGGCGAACGGGUGAGUAAUGCAUCGGAACGUGCCCAGCAGUGGGGGAUAGCCCGGCGAAAGCCGGAUUAAUACCGCAUACGACCUGAGGGUGAAAGCGGGGGACCGAAAGGCCUCGCGCUAUUGGAGGGGCCGAUGUCGGAUUAGCUAGUUGGUGGGGUAAAGGCUUACCAAGGCGACGAUCCGUAGCUGGUCUGAGAGGACGACCAGCCACACUGGAACUGAGACACGGCCCAGACUCCUACGGGAGGCAGCAGUGGGGAAUUUUGGACAAUGGGGGCAACCCUGAUCCAGCCAUGCCGCGUGCGGGAAGAAGGCCUUCGGGUUGUAAACCGCUUUUGUUCGGGAAGAACUCCUCUGGGCUAAUACCCCGGGGGGAUGACGGUACCGGAAGAAUAAGCACCGGCUAACUACGUG
rnacentral:rRNA from 1 species